rnacentral:lncRNA from 1 species
ACAGAGGCAGCAAACGAGAGAAACUAGCAGCACACCAUCGUUUCCCUCCUACUCCAAGUGAAUCAGAUGGUUAAUGAGCCGUGGUCUAAUUUGAGUUCAUCGAGGUUGCCGACGAGGAUUUCCAGCUGAGCUCUGGUCUUGAUUCUUGUUCGCGAUCCCAUUCAUUUUCGAGUCGUAGAGCCGUAAAACAAUGAAAGUUCAAAUUCGCUGUUUUAAGGUCAGAUUCUUAUUUUUUCCUUUCUUAAAGUUCUGUGUUUUAACUUUUGAUGGAAUGAAGUCAUUUGGUUGAUAUUAGAAAUGCAUUCAUUUGGUUGCAGCUCAUACUGCUUUCGUAUUGUUUCUCUUAUUGACUUUAAAGAUUGAUGUUAGAUCAUUAACCUAUCAUUCAUUAAUCUUGAUUAAGAGGAAGAAAAGAAAGAUAAUUUAUUGAUAGCUACAAAUUAGUAGUUGUUGGAUUUUUUUUUUUUUUGUUUAAUUGAUAAAUGGACCGUAGGGGGUUUGUCUUAUUUAAAAGUCAAAAUUGCAUUUAGACUCCCUUAAAAAUUGUCAUGGCAGAGAAUUGAAAAAGUUAUAAAAUUUGAGCUUGGAUCAUUUUGUUAAUAAUUUGUUUCGCUAUACCCGUUUGAUUGGUAGGAGCAUGCCUAGGCCUUUAUCUCUUGAGUAGGCAAGCCACAGGGUUUUUGUUAGUUUUAAGGUAAGAGAUUGUUCCCGUAGUUAAAUUUAUUUGGGGAAUGCCUCGAAUAAUUUGUAUAUAUAUAUAUAUAUAUAUGUUAUUACGGGGUAUGCCCCGUAGUAUCAUAUAUUUGGAAUCCAAGAGAAAAACUCGUAGUACUUUUAUUCUUCUUUUAUAUUUACUUUUUCUUUAGUUAGGUGAAGAAGACCUUGAGUCGAGUAUGCAAUCGUACUAGUUACGGGGCUUGGGGUGUGUCUAACACCUCCUCCCCGAGUCAAAUGAAUCUCCCUGCCCGAAUCUAAGGUGUAGAAUUAAUUUUACAAUUCAAAGUGUGUAAAUAGGAAUUGUACUUGUAAAAUGGUGACGUGGCACACCUAAAUCAAAUGUCAAAUGGCGACUCUGAGUUAAUCCUUUUUAAACAAAAAUUUGUGUCACUUUUAUUGAAAACCAUUUUCAAGAUUUACAAAUCCUUUUAUUAUUUUUAACAGGGUUUAGUGAGGUUUGGUUAAAAAAUAGUUGUGACAUCUCUGGCAACUUUGUUGGAGAGUUGCAGGUUUGUACUGUUACUUGAUCUUGUUGGCUUUUAGGAUAUUCGGUAGAGUCGUUUGCUUUCUUUAUUUGCUUUGUUUGUCUUAUUUCCUUAUUUGUUUAUCACUUUUCUUAAUGUGUUAUUGCUUGAGAAACUGUCAUCAUUUGCAUAACCAUGAGUAUUCUUUCUGCAGGAAGUCUCGAACUACGCAUUGCGUGCACGAAUUCUUUGUUGGGUCACCCUUAAUUUAAGAGGGGGAGCUGUCAGACGUAUGGAGUGGGUGGAAAGCUUCAACCAUAGACCAUACGCUCCCCCGAAUUGCUUUGUUAAUAAACCCCAAACAUAGGUCAAUAUUUAGGUCUUUUUUAUUUGCAUUAUGUCAUUCACACCUAGUAGUGAUCGGCCCCGGGCACCGUGUCUCUUUGUAGGAAACCUACCCACAUUUUGUCAAAAAUGGGCCCGUGGCCCAGAAAGACAUUCAAUCAUCCAUAUGUGAUACGUGUUGCAUAUUUGAGGGUAGAAAGAUCAUUUGAC